rnacentral:misc_RNA from 1 species
AAAAAUAGUUUUGUAACAAAUACAUUUUCGUAGAUCAUGCAUAUUUGUUUUGAUCUUUAAUGAAAUAUGUAAUGUCUGACCUACUUUCCGGCGCAGCAAUAUUGUACAUACAGUAUGGCGGCCGAAGUGAAUGCAAGAUCCAACAAGAAUUCAACAAUAGCAUUUACAUUGCCAAUUUCAUGUCAAGUUUGCCUGGGAAAGGUAAAAAAUCCGGUGUUAUGUCCAAAUCAACAUGUGUUCUGUGGUCCUUGUAUGGAGGUUUGGCUUCAGAAGAACAAACAGUGCCCAGCAUGUAGAACUGCCAUGACGGCCGGAAAAAAGAUCAUUGGUGGUUUAAGCCAUCAAGAAGAAGACACAGACAAAAUGACAAACCCUGACCUACGAAAAGCCAGAUUUGAUCUGCUCUAUAAAGAAUAUGAGAAUGAAUUUGAGCGCAUGCAUUCUGAGAUACAGCUACUGAAGACAGAGAACCAGAUUCUGAAGCAGCAAGCAAGAAAAGAUGGUCUACAGCCUGGCAGAUCUGAAAGUGGAAGUUCCAAAGCUACUGAUAGUAGUCAUUUACUGGCUCUCACCAAGAAACUCCAGGAUGCCACCAAAAUGUAUGAGAAAGUUAAAGGGGAGCAGACUAGGCUUAAACAGGAGAAUACAAACUUGAAAGAUGAGAAUCUGAGCUUGAACAGAGAGAACCAGCAUUUACGACAAGAGUUGGCAGGCAGGUCCCCACACAGAUAUGGGAGGAUCACAGUGUCCACACUUGAAACAAAACUUGCCAGUGCAGAAAAAGAUGUCACUAGACUCACAAAAGCACUUGAAAGAUCUGAUAAGUACAUUGAAGAACUUGAAGCAGAACUUGACGAUUAUCGUGGAAAAUCUGGAUCUUCAAAGAGACCUAGUUCUGCUUCUGAUAGGGAUGACAAGCAUUUGACUAAUGGUGACAUUACAAACAGGAAGUACUCUUCAGAUUCAAAAGUACCUCCGUCCAGAGAGUAUGGAAUAGGGGCAGAUAAUCCCUCAAGAAGACAAUUGUUUUCAGAUGACACAGGUGCUAAAUCAAGUGCAGGUGAGAGGUCUAAAUAUUACUAUGAGCGAAAUGGUGAUUAUAAUGAUGAUUACAAAAGUGAUGGAAGGUCACAGGGUGCUAAAAUGAAUGGAGAUAAUGGUGGCAAGAAAAGAGUGACCUUUGACCUUAACAAAAACACAAAUAGCACAAUGUCAUUUGACCUUGAACUUCCAAGUCCACUGAAAAUGUCAGCAAAUGCAAGUGGACUAGCAAAUGGACGAGCAUCACCAGUGAAAGGCGUGCUAAAGAAAACAAAUGGUGCCAGUAAUAAACAGAGUUCUGGUGACAAAUCAGGUUUCUCUACGGACUUGUCAAAAGAUUCACUGUCAGACAGUUAUAAUCUAAAGUCAAGUGAUAGGUAUUCAAAGGAUGAUGACUUACUUUUUCUAAAAAGUAGGUCAAGGUCAUCAGGUGACAGAGACUAUGAGGAUGACAUUUAUUCAAAACCCAGGAAAAAAUAUAGUGCUGAUGACAGUGUACUGGAUGAACCAAGUGACUUAGACUCCAAGAGGACUCGUGAUCGGGAUUAUUCAUCUAGAUCAAGGGCAAGUGAUUAUGAAAGCAGAAAAAGGUCAGAUCUCUUGGAUGACCUUGACAGUGGACCUAGAAGGUCACGGGACGCAAGAGAUAGAGUAGAUGACCUCGAUAAAAGUGAUUUAGAUGACACACAUUAUAUAGAAAGUGAACUGGAUGAAUUAAACAUAUCAUUGACACCAGAAUUUACAGAUUGCAUGAAAAUAUUAAAUCGUGCAGAAAAGAAUGUUCAUACAAGAGUUACAGAUCCUGUGACAGAUGAUCUGGCAAAGUACCAAUCAAUAGAUUCAGAAAUAGAUACUGCAUUUAGAGCCUCAACAGGCAGUAUAGGCGAGAGGAGUGGGGCAGGGCAAGAUUUUAUGUCAAAUGUUAAGACUGAUACCAGCAAGUUUACAUCAUCCCUUGAUAGUUAUUCUAGAGGGAGGCAUGUAAGAUCAGGAUCGUUAGACAAUAUUUUUGUUGCAGCAGCAGAUCCGCAUGAAAGACCAAGCAGCGCCCUUCCUACAACUUCAAAUAUGUAUUCAAGCAACAGUCAAAAUAGGUAUAUGGGUGGACUGACUACGGGUAGAACAACGCUGACUCGAACACCUUCAUUAGACAAUCUGCUGUUAGCCAGACAAUCCACUGGCUACCAGAAUAAAUACAGUUCUGUAGAAGACUCUUUAGGUCUGAAGUCAAGAUCCAGUUUCCCGGGGUAUAUGGGGCGGCGAUCGUAUGGUGAGGAAGAAAACAAACUAGAUGUGAAAUCUGGCAGCUUGCCGAGCAGUGCACCGGUAACAGCCAAGCACGACAUUUGGGUUCACAGGGUACAGGUAGCACUGCAGGUGAUCGGUACAGCAGGGUUGGUACUGAUUCAAAUGCACAAGGUUACUCCUCAGACAGAAUGUCUUCCAUCUCUGCAAGCACAAAGGAAAUGGAUAUUGGUAGAAAACUUCCACCGUCUGGUCGGCAAACACCAACAAUGCCCCUCUCUAGCACUGGUAGUGAUUUAGACAAGCAGUACUCCUCUGGUAGGGUCACACCCACCAUUCCUACACACUCUGAAUACAUGGCCUUCUCUAAAUCUAACACUGAUAAGUAUACUUACACUGCUAGCACUGGUUCUGGUCGUAGCACUCCCACCCUCACUACUAACACUGAUUACACAUCACUAACUAAAUCAAGUGGACCCUAUUCAGGUCCUUCGUCCUUGCCAACUGAUCUGUCUCAGAAACCUCCCACAGGGACCAGGGUGCCGGACUUGCACACCAGCACGAAGCACAACCCAAGGAUCAUCAUCAUCAUCACUUGGUCUGUCAUCAUAUCCCGGACCAUCAUCCGCAUCAUCGUACCUACCUACGACCUUGACCUCUCUGACCUCUAGUUCUUCAUACUCCACCGCCCAUAGUGUUCCAUUAACCUUC